GACGAACGCUGGCGGCGUGCUUAACACAUGCAAGUCGAACGGAAAGGCCCUGCUUUUGUGGGGUGCUCGAGUGGCGAACGGGUGAGUAACACGUGAGUAACCUGCCCUUGACUUUGGGAUAACUUCAGGAAACUGGGGCUAAUACCGGAUAGGAGCUCCUGCUGCAUGGUGGGGGUUGGAAAGUUUCGGCCGUUGUGGAUGUACUCGCGGCUUAUCAGCUUGUUGGUGGGGUAGUUGCUGCCCAAGGCUUUGACGGGUAGCCUGCCUGGGAGGUUGGACGGCCACCAUGGGCCUGAGAGACGGACCAGACGCGUACGGGAGGCAGUAGGCGGGAACAUUGCACAGCGGGGCGACGUGUGAUGCAGCAAUGUUCGGAUCGUGAAGAACUGUUACGGGUUGUAAACCGCUUUCGCCUGUGACGAAGCGUUAGUGACGGUACCUAGUAAAGAAGCACCGGCUAACUACGUG
rnacentral:rRNA from 1 species